UUCAUUUGCUCCAUAUAAUUCUGCUUCACCUUUGCUUGCAGAUCUUUCUACUGGAAGUCAGCAGAAUGCCUCUGUCUGGAGAAAUGUGUGUUGACCAAAGGGAAAGAUUGGCUCAAGUGAGAACCGUGAUGGCUACCAGCAUCAGCUCCCUAGAUACUCUCAAAGCAAGGCCAGGCCCUAUUCAGGAAGCAGACGCAUUUUUCCUCAACUCUCCUAUUCAGGCAUUAACAGUGUGUAAAUGCAAUGUAAGCGCAACCUACAACAGCACGAAGUUAGCAGAAGGAAAAUGGACUCAGGAGCCUAGCAAAAGAAGGGAGCCUACAAAAAAAAGCAAACAAGGGAAAAAUAAAAGGGUUUGGCCUCUGUGGUUGAUGGCUCAGCCUUGGCAACUGCCCCGGGGGAAGCUGCCUGCCCCAGCCUCUUAGAGAACAGUCUCACAAGCCCUGAUUGAAGACCUCAUCAGCCACUUUUGUUCAGUCCUGGGUGACCACGCAAGACAUGUUUAGAUUUUUGCUGCUUCUUUAAAUAACCAAAUAGAAGUCUGUAUUUGUCCUUAAAGAAAACAUUCAAAACCCACCCCACCAAUAUCAGAGUGACUCUCUUGUUCUGUGGAAAUUUACAGAACAGCAGCACAAGAAAAUCCCUCGGAAAUAAAAGCAUGUAAAAAAAGAUGGAAAACUGAAUU
rnacentral:lncRNA from 1 species